UAAACGAUAAACCACGAAUWUYUUACCUAUUUUAUGUUUGUAUACCGUCAUUAUCAGAUAACUUUGAUAAAAUUAGUUAUUGAAAUUAAUAUAAGUUAAGAAAAUUAGAUCAAGGUGCAGCUUUAAAUAGGAGAAAAUGGGUUACAAUAAAAAUAGUUUAAAUGGAUUUGUUUAUGAAAAUAAAUAAUGAAGGUGGAUUUAAUUGUAAUAUUAAUAAUUAUAUUUUUUUGAUAUAGGCUCUAAAA
rnacentral:rRNA from 1 species